rnacentral:rRNA from 1 species
GUACGGAGGGGCUAGCGUUGUUCGGAAUUACUGGGCGUAAAGCGCGCGUAGGCGGACCUGCAAGUCGGGGGUGAAAGCCCGAGGCUCAACCUCGGAACUGCCUUCGAUACUGCGGGUCUCGAGUCCGGGAGAGGUGAGUGGAAUUCCUAGUGUAGAGGUGAAAUUCGUAGAUAUUAGGAAGAACACCAGUGGCGAAGGCGGCUCACUGGCCCGGUACUGACGCUGAGGCACGAAAGCGUGGGGAGCAAACAGG